rnacentral:rRNA from 1 species
UACGUAGGGCGCAAGCGUUGUCCGGAAUUAUUGGGCGUAAAGAGCUCGUAGGCGGCCUGUCGCGUCGGCUGUGAAAACCCGAGGCUCAACCUCGGGCCUGCAGUCGAUACGGGCAGGCUAGAGUUCGGUAGGGGAGACUGGAAUUCCUGGUGUAGCGGUGAAAUGCGCAGAUAUCAGGAGGAACACCGGUGGCGAAGGCGGGUCUCUGGGCCGAAACUGACGCUGAGGAGCGAAAGCGUGGGGAGCGAACAGG